GAGUCUAGCAUGUGCGCGAGUCAUUGGGAUUGACUAAACCUAAAGGCGCAAUGAAAGUGAAGGCCCGCCUCGCGCGGGCCGAGGGAGGAUGGGCCGCCUCACGUGGCAGCCCCGCACUCCCGGGGCGUCUCGUUCUCAUCACGAGAAGAGGCGCACCCAGAGCGUACACGCUGGGACCCGAAAGAUGGUGAACUAUGCCUGGUCAGGACGAAGUCAGGGGAAACCCUGAUGGAGGUCCGUAGCGAUUCUGACGUGCAAAUCGAUCGUCGGAACUGGGUAUAGGGGCGAAAGACUAAUCGAACCAUCUAGUAGCUGGUUCCCUCCGAAGUUUCCCUCAGGAUAGCUGGCGCUCGCUUUGCGAGUCUCAUCCGGUAAAGCGAAUGAUUAGAGGCAUUGGGGUCGAAACGGCCUCAACCUAUUCUCAAACUUUAAAUGGGUGAGAUCUCCGGCUUGCUCGAACGUGAAGCCGCGAGAAUUAGUAAGGAUCAGAGUGCCAAGUGGGCCACUUUUGGUAAGCAGAACUGGCGCUGUGGGAUGAACCAAACGCAGAGUUAAAGCGCCUAAAUCGACGCUUAUGGGAUACCAUGAAAGGCGUUGGUAACUUAAGACAGCAGGACGGUGGCCAUGGAAGUCGGA
rnacentral:rRNA from 1 species